CGGUCAAAUCACGCUGAAAACACCGGUUCUCGUUCGAUCACCGAAGUUAAGCAUCGUAGAGCCAGGUCAGUACUUUAGAUGGGGGGACCGCUUGGGAACACCUGGUACUGUAAG
rnacentral:rRNA from 1 species